UUGGAGGGCAAGUCUGGUGCCAGCAGCCGCGGUAAUUCCAGCUCCAAUAGCGUAUAUUAAAGUUGUUGCAGUUAAAAAGCUCGUAGUUGAACUUCGGGGUUUACCCAUUGGUCAGGCUUAAUUGUCUGUACUGGUGAGAUGAAUCUCUACCUUCUGAGGAACUUUCAUGCCAUUUAUUUGGUGUGAUGGGAAAUCAGGACUGUUACUUUGAAAAAAUUAGAGUGUUUAAAGCAGGCUAACGUCUGAAUACAUUAGCAUGGAAUAAUGAAAUAGGACGGACUGAUUCUAUUUCGUUGGUUUCUAGGAUCACCGUAAUGAUUAAUAGGGAUAGUUGGGGGCAUUAGUAUUCAAUUGUCAGAGGUGAAAUUCUUGGAUUUAUUGAAGACUAACUACUGCGAAAGCAUUUGCCAAGGAUGUUUUCAUCAAUCAAGAACGAAAGUUAGGGGAUCGAAGACGAUCAGAUACCGUCGUAGUCUUAACCAUAAACUAUGCCGACUAGGGAUCGGACGAAGUUAAUUUUAUAAUGACGCGUUCGGCGCCUUACGGGAAAC
rnacentral:rRNA from 1 species